AGUAAAUUUUUCACUUUUACUUGCUUGCUAUUGAAAUUACCAGAAAGCCUAUAAUAUAAUUAAAAUGUCUCUCUUUCAUUCACUCCCUCUCCCCUUUCUCUCUCUCUCCCCUGCUCUCCUGUUAUUUUUAUUUAUUUUUUUAUAUAUUUUGUUCUGUCAUGAGGUCUGUGGUAUUAUUAUUUUUCCUGUUAUGUUCACAGAAAAUUUGCAAGCUUGUGCAAGGUGGGGGAGGGGUUAAAGGGACGAGUGUGUUACAUACAUACAUAUAUAUAUAUAUAUGUAUGUAUAUAUAUAUAUCUAUAUAGAUAUAUAUAUAUGUGUAUAUAUAUCUGUCCAUAGAUAUAUGUAUAUAUGUG
rnacentral:lncRNA from 1 species